UACGGAGGAUCCGAGCGUUAUCCGGAUUAUUGGGUUUAAAGGGUGCGUAGGCGGCUUUUUAAGUCAGGGGUGAAAGACGGUAGCUUAACUAUCGCAGUGCCCUUGAUACUGAAGAGCUUGAAUGUACUAGAGGUAGGCGGAAUGUGACAAGUAGCGGUGAAAUGCAUAGAUAUGUCACAGACACCAAAUUGCGAAGGCAGCUUACUAUGGUAUGAUUGACGCUGAGGCACGAAAGCGUGGG
rnacentral:rRNA from 1 species